rnacentral:rRNA from 1 species
UACGUAGGGUGCGAGCGUUGUCCGGAAUUACUGGAGAGAAGCUCGUAGGCGGUUUGUCGCGUCGUCCGUGAAACUUGGGCUCAACCCCAGCUUGCGGUCGAUACGGGCAUCACUGGAGUUCGGCAGGGAGACUGGAAUUCCUGGUGUAGCGGUGAAAUGCGCAGAUAUCAGGAGGAACACCGGUGGCGAAGCGGUCUCUGGCCGAUACUGACGCUGAGAGCGAAGCGUGGGAGCGAACAGG